rnacentral:rRNA from 1 species
ACGAACGCUGGCGGCAGGCCUAACACAUGCAAGUCGAACGCUCUAGCAAUAGAGAGUGGCAGACGGGUGAGUAACGCGUGGGAACCUUCCCAAUGGUACGGAAUAGCUCAGGGAAACUUGAGGUAAUACCGUAUAAGCCCCUAGGGGGAAAGAUUUAUCGCCAUUGGAUGGGCCCGCGUCGGAUUAGCUAGUUGGUAGGGUAAUGGCCUACCCAAG